rnacentral:rRNA from 1 species
UCUGUCUUAGAUUAAUAAAUUGAAUUUAACUUUUAAGUGAAAAGGCUUAAAUAAUCUGAAGGGACGAUAAGACCCUAUAAAACUUUAUAUUGAAAAGUAGUGAAGUAUGAUUUGUUUAAAGGUUAUUACUUUAAAGUAUUUGGUUGGGGCGACAAGAAUAGAAUGGAAAGUAACUGUUUUUUUUUUUUACAAUGAUAUUUGGGUGGAUGAUCCUAAAAUGGAUUAAAGAUUAAGUUACUUUAGGGAUAACAGCGUAAUUUUCUUUGAGAGUUCUUAUCGAUAAGAACGUUUGCGACCUCGAUGUUGAAUUAAAGGUUCUUUAUGGAGUAGAGACUAUAGAAGAGGG